GACGAACGCUGGCGGCGUGCUUAACACAUGCAAGUCGAGCGAGUGAGUUCUUCGGAACGAUCUAGCGGCGGACGGGUGAGUAACACGUGGGCAACCUGCCUCAUAGAGGGGAAUAGCCUCCCGAAAGGGAGAUUAAUACCGCAUAAAAUUAUCGCGUGGCAUCACAUGAUAAUCAAAGGAGUAAUCCGCUAUGAGAUGGGCCCGCGGGGCAUUAGCUAGUGGGUGGGGUAACGGGACACCAAGGCCACGAUGCGUAGCCGACCUGAGAGGGUGCUCGGCCAGAUUGGGGCUGAGACACGGCCCAGACUCCUACGGGAGGCAGCAGUGGGGAAUAUUGCACAAUGGGGGAAACCCUGAUGCAGGAACGCCGCGUGAGUGAUGAAGGUCUUCGGAUUGUAAAGCUCUGUCUUUGGGGACGAUAAUGACGGUACCCAAGGAGGAAGCCACGGCUAACUACGUGCCAGCCGCCGCAGUAA
rnacentral:rRNA from 1 species